rnacentral:rRNA from 1 species
GACGAACGCUGGCGGCGUGCCUAAUACAUGCAAGUAGAACGCUGAAGGAGGAGCUUGCUUCUCUGGAUGAGUUGCGAACGGGUGAGUAACGCGUAGGUAACCUGCCUGGUAGCGGGGGAUAACUAUUGGAAACGAUAGCUAAUACCGCAUAAUAGCAGUUAUUGCAUGAUAACUGUUUGAAAGGUGCAAUUGCACCACUACCAGAUGGACCUGCGUUGUAUUAGCUAGUUGGUGGGGUAACGGCUCACCAAGGCGACGAUACAUAGCCGACCUGAGAGGGUGAUCGGCCACACUGGGACUGAGACACGGCCCAGACUCCUACGGGAGGCAGCAGUAGGGAAUCUUCGGCAAUGGACGGAAGUCUGACCGAGCAACGCCGCGUGAGUGAAGAAGGUUUUCGGAUCGUAAAGCUCUGUUGUAAGAGAAGAACGAGUGUGAGAGUGGAAAGUUCACACUGUGACGGUAUCUGACCAGAAAGGGACGGCUAACUACGUG